rnacentral:rRNA from 1 species
GACGAACGCUGGCGGCGUGCUUAACACAUGCAAGUCGAACGGAAAGGCCCGGCUUUUGUGGGCUGCUCGAGUUGCGAACGGGUGAGUAACACGUGAGUAACCUGCCCUUGACUUUGGGAUAACUUCAGGAAACUGGGGCUAAUACCGGAUAGGAGCUCCUGCUGCAUGGUGGGGGUUGGUAAGUUUCGGCGGUUGGUGAUGGACUCGCGGCUUAUCAGCUUGUUGGUGGGGUAGUGGCUUACCAAGGCUUUGACGGGUAGCCGGGCUGAGAGGGUGACCGGCCACACUGGGACUGAGAUACGGCACAGACUCGUCCGGGAGGCAGCAGUGGGGAAUAUUGCACAAUGGGCGGAAGCCUGAUGCAGCAACGCAGCGUGCGGGAUGACGGGCUUCGGGUUGUAAACCGCUUUCGCCUGUGACGAAGCGUGAGUGACGGUAAUGGGUAAAGAAGCACCGGCUAACUACGUG